rnacentral:rRNA from 1 species
AUUGAACGCUGGCGGCAGGCCUAACACAUGCAAGUCGAACGAGUGGCGGACGGGUGAGUAAUGUCUGGGAAACUGCCUGAUGGAGGGGGAUAACUACUGGAAACGGUAGCUAAUACCGCAUACCAUCGGAUGUGCCCAGAUGGGGUUAGCUAGUGGGUGGGGUAAAGGCUAACCUAGGCGACGAUCCGUAGCUGGUCUGAGAGGAUGACCAGCCACACUGGAACUGAAACACGGGCCAGACUCAUACGGGAGGCAGCAGUGGGGAAUAUUGCACAGUGGGCGCAAGCCUGAUGCAGACAAGCCCCGUGUAGGGAGAAGGCCUUCGGGUUGUAAAGUACUUUCAGCGGGAAGGCGUUACCCGCAGAAGAAGCACCGGCUAACUCCGUGCCAGCAGCCGCGGUAAUAC